UGCCCUAGUAACGGCGAGUGAAGCGGCAACAGCUCAAAUUUGAAAUCUGGCGUCUUUGGCGUCCGAGUUGUAAUUUGCAGAGGGCGCUUUGGCAUUGGCAGCGGUCCAAGUUCCUUGGAACAGGACGUCACAGAGGGUGAGAAUCCCGUACGUGGUCGCUAGCCUUUACCGUGUAAAGCCCCUUCGACGAGUCGAGUUGUUUGGGAAUGCAGCUCUAAAUGGGAGGUAAAUUUCUUCUAAAGCUAAAUACUGGCCAGAGACCGAUAGCGCACAAGUAGAGUGAUCGAAAGAUGAAAAGCACUUUGGAAAGAGAGUUAAAAAGCACGUGAAAUUGUUGAAAGGGAAGCGCUUGCAGCCAGACUUGCCUGUAGUUGCUCAUCCGGGUUUUUACCCGGUGCACUCUUCUAUAGGCAGGCCAGCAUCAGUUUGGGCGGUUGGAUAAAGGUCUCUGUCACGUACCUCCUCUCGGGGAGAACUUAUAGGGGAGACGUAAUGCAACCAGCCUGGACUGAGGUCCGCGCAUCUGCUAGGAUGCUGGCGUAAUGGCUGUAAGCGGCCCGUCUUGAAACACGGACCAAGGAGUCUAACAUCUAUGCGAGUGUUUGGGUGUCAAGCCCGAGCGCGUAAUGAAAGUGAACGGAGGUGGGAACCUUUCGGGGUGCACCAUCGACCGAUCCUGAUGUCUUCGGAUGGAUUUGAGUAAGAGCAUAGCUGUUGGGACCCGAAAGAUGGUGAACUAUGCUUGAAUAGGGUGAAGCCAGAGGAAACUCUGGUGGAGGCUCGCAGCGGUUCUGACGUGCAAAUCGAUCGUCAAAUUUGGGCAUAGGGGCGAAAGACUAAUCGAACUAUCUAGUAGCUGGUUCCUGCCGAAGUUUCCCUCAGGAUAGCAGUAACGUUUUCAGUUUUAUGAGGUAAAGCGAAUGAUUAGAGGCCUGGGGGUUGAAACAACCUUCACCUAUUCUCAAACUUUAAAUAUGUAAGAAGUCCUUGUUACUUAAUUGAACGUGGACAGUUGAAUGUAUCGUUACUAGUGGGCCAUUUUUGGUAAGCAGAACUGGCGAUGCGGGAUGAACCGAACGCGGGGUUAAGGUGCCAGAAUAUACGCUCAUCAGACACCACAAAAGGUGUUAGUUCAUCUAGACAGCAGGACGGUGGCCAUGGAAGUCGGAAUCCGCUAAGGAGUGUGUAACAACUCACCUGCCGAAUGAACUAGCCCUGAAAAUGGAUGGCGCUCAAGCGUAUUACCCAUACCCCGCCGCUGGGGCAAGAUUUAAGCCCCAGCGAGUAGGCAGGCGUGGAGGUCCGUGACGAAGCCUG
rnacentral:rRNA from 2 species